rnacentral:lncRNA from 1 species
GUUAGACUGAAUAAUUUAUUUUUAAAAAUACUUGGAGAGCACUUUCUGAUUCUUCAUCCUGAUAUUAUAUACAGGUUGUAUUAAUAUAAAAUGUUCUCUGUCCCCACCAGAGCUUUCCAAGAAAGAAAAGCCUAAACACAAAACCAAACUUUAAAGCCCACAUUUGUUUUUAACUACUAGAAACACAUAUCCAUUAAAGGGUUAAGUUAGAAAAUAACUUGGGAUAGGAAGUUUUGAAUUUAUUAAAUAUCAUUAAUCUCUAAUAUUAAUUUAAAUCAUUAGUAUGUAAAUUCCUCCAAACAGGACAAGUAAACUAGAAAAUGACUUGGGUGUCCACGAUGAUGACAACACAGGGAUGACUGAGAGAACAAUUACUGGGAUGAUAGUGGCAAAAAUGAUGGGCUGGACAUGGCCAGUGGUGACUCAGAGGCUGGCUUGGAUCUGCACUUGGAUGAGAACAGCUCAGGCCUUGAGGCAGCAUUUGCUGGGCCACUGACCUGCAAUAGUGAGAGCACUGAAUUUCCUCCUCCAUCAAGCUGCUCAGAGCUCCUGCUCUUCCUUCCAGCUGUUUGCCUGCCCCUGCUCCCCUUCUGCCCUCCCCAGCAUAGCUUCCUCAUUUCACAGGCACCCUGUACAUAAAAUUUGCAGCAACAGUGAAUAUACCCGUGUGGAGAUGCUGAAUAUUUUUAUCUCUCUGUGAAAGAACUGAAACUUUGUUAUUUCACUGCUUAAUCAAGGUGAAGUGCAGAGCUCCUGAGGAAAUUCUGUAAAUAAACACAAAGAGUGCUGGGCA